rnacentral:lncRNA from 1 species
GAACCCAAUUGGCUCUUAUACUAAAACAGAAACAAGAUCUAGAAAAUAGAAGGAAAUAAUAAACAGUGAAGAUUUAGAUCUAAGUUCGUGGCGUUGUAACCAGAUUCACGCAUUCACAGCCUGUGGGAGCUUUAAAUGCUCUUGCAGAAUCUGUUUUCUAGCCUAUAAACUUAUAGAUCUGAAAAUAAAUUUGAACAGAAACAAUCAGCAAGUUUCUGAUGUGCAGGAUCCUCUUUACGAGGCA